GAUGAACGCUGGCGGCGUGCCUAAUACAUGCAAGUCGAGCGAACAGACGAGGAGCUUUCUCCUCUGACGUUAUCGGCGGACGGGUGAGUAACACGGGGAUAACCUACCUAUAAGACUGGGAUAACUUCGGGAAACCGGAGCUAAUACCGGAUAAUAUAUUGAACCGCAUGGUUCAAUAGUGAAAGACGGUUUUGCUGUCACUUAUAGAUGGAUCCGCGCCGCAUUAGCUAGUUGGUAAGGUAACGGCUUACCAAGGCAACGAUGCGUAGCCGACCUGAGAGGGUGAUCGGCCACACUGGAACUGAGACACGGUCCAGACUCCUACGGGAGGCAGCAGUAGGGAAUCUUCCGCAAUGCGCGAAAGCCUGACGGAGCAAAGCCGCGUGAGUGAUGAAGGUCUUCGGAUCGUAAAACUCUGUUAUUAGGGAAGAACAAAUGUGUAAGUAACUAUGCACGUCUUGACGGUACCUAAUCAGAAAGCCACGGCUAACUACGUG
rnacentral:rRNA from 1 species